GCUGGGCAUGGUGGAACAUGCCUGUAAGCCCUGCUUCUGGAGAAGCUAAGGCAGGGGGAUCACUUGAGCUUGGGGGCUCUGAAUUGCAGUUUGCCAAGCUGAUUGGGUGUCUGCACUAAGGCCAGUAUCAAUAUGGUGAGCCUUUGUGAGUGAGGGUUCUGAAGGUUACCUGAGGCAAGGUGAACCAGCUGUGGUCAGAAAUAAGCAGGUCAAGUCUCCUCUGCCUAUAUCAGCAGUGGAAUUGGGCCUCAAGUAGCUGCUGCAUUUCUCACCUAGCUAAGAUAGGGAGACCCAGUCUCA
rnacentral:SRP_RNA from 1 species